rnacentral:rRNA from 1 species
GACGAACGCUGGCGGCGUGCCUAAUACAUGCAAGUAGAGCGCACAGUUUAUACCGUAGCUUGCUACACCAUAGACUGUGAGUUGCGAACGGGUGAGUAACGCGUAGGUAACCUGCCUGGUAGCGGGGGAUAACUAUUGGAAACGAUAGCUAAUACCGCAUAAUAUUGAUUAUUGCAUGAUAAUUGAUUGAAAGAUGCUAUUGCAUCACUACCAGAUGGACCUGCGUUGUAUUAGCUAGUAGGUGAGGUAACGGCUCACCUAGGCGACGAUACAUAGCCGACAUGAGAGGGUGGUCGGCCCCACUGGGACUGAGACACGGCCCAGACUCCUACGGGAGGCAGCAGUAGGGAAUCUUCGGCAAUGGACGAAAGUCUGACCGAGCAACGCCGCGUGAGUGAAGAAGGUUUUCGGAUCGUAAAGCUCUGUUGUAAGAGAAGAACGGGUGUGAGAGUGGAAAGUUCACACUGUGACGGUAUCUUACCAGAAAGGGACGGCUAACUACGUG